AGUGAACGCUGGCGGUAGGCCUAACACAUGCAAGUCGAACGGCAGCACAGGAGAGCUUGCUCUCUGGGUGGCGAGUGGCGGACGGGUGAGGAAUACAUCGGAAUCUACUCUGUCGUGGGGGAUAACGUAGGGAAACUUACGCUAAUACCGCAUACGACCUACGGGUGAAAGCAGGGGAUCUUCGGACCUUGCGCGAUUGAAUGAGCCGAUGUCGGAUUAGCUAGUUGGCGGGGUAAAGGCCCACCAAGGCGACGAUCCGUAGCUGGUCUGAGAGGAUGAUCGGCCACACUGGAACUGAGACACGGUCCAGACUCCGACGGGAGGCAGCAGUGUGGAAUAUUGGACAAUGGGCGCAAGCCUGAUCCAGCCAUACCGCGUGGGUGAAGAAGGCCUUCGGGUUGUAAAGCCCUUUUGUUGGGAAAGAAAUCCAGCUGGCUAAUACCCGGUUGGGAUGACGGUACCCAAAGAAUGAGCACCGGCUAACUUCGUGCCAGCCGCCGCAGUAA
rnacentral:rRNA from 1 species